GGCUGGUUCGAUGGUAGUAGGUUAUCAGAACUUAUUAGUGUCACAAAAGUCGGUGUAUACACCCCACUGCUAAAAUCUGACUGGCUAAAA
ensembl:misc_RNA Y_RNA Y RNA